rnacentral:rRNA from 1 species
GAUCAUGGCUCAGGAUGAACGCUAGCUACAGGCUUAAAACAUGCAAGUCGAGGGGCGAGCAUGAAAGGAAACUUCGGUUUCUUUUUGUAUGGCGACCGGCGCACGGGUGCGUAACGCGUAUCGAACCUGCCUCAUACUCGGGGAUAGCCUUGCGAAAGUAAGAUUAAUACCCGGCGGUCUCGGAUGGCCGCAUGACUAUCCGAGUGAAGAUUUAUCGGUAUGAGAUGGCGAUGCGU